UUUGUGUAUAUAUAUGUAUGUAUGUGUGUGUGUGUGUGUGUGUGUAUAUAUAUACACACACACACACACACACACACAUACACAGA
rnacentral:miRNA from 1 species